GACGAACGCUGGCGGCGUGCUUAACACAUGCAAGUCGAACGGAGUGGCGAACGGGUGAGUAACACGUGUGUGAUCUGCCUUGCACUUCGGGAUAAGCUUGGGACACUGGGUCUAAUACCGGAUAGUGCAAGAUGAGCUCGCGGCCUAUCAGCUUGUUGGUGGGGUAAUGGCCUACCAAGGCGUCGACGGGUAGCCGGCCUGAGAGGGUGUACGGCGAAAUUGGGACUGAGAGACGGCGCAGAAUCGUAUGGGAGACAGAAGUGGGGAAGAUUGGACAAUGGGCGGAAGCCGGAUGCAGAGACGCCGCGUGGGGGAUGAAGGUUUUCGGGUUGUAAACUCCAUUAGACAGGGACGCGGUACCUGUAUAAGAAGCACCGGCUAACUACGUGCCAGCAGCCGCGGUAAUUC
rnacentral:rRNA from 1 species